rnacentral:rRNA from 1 species
AGUGAACGCUGGCGGUAGGCCUAACACAUGCAAGUCGAACGGCAACACAGUAAGAGCUUGCUCUUACGGGUGGCGAGUGGCGGACGGGUGAGGAAUACAUCGGAAUCUACUUUUUCGUGGGGGAUAACGUAGGGAAACUUACGCUAAUACCGCAUACGACCUACGGGUGAAAGCAGGGGAUCUUCGGACCUUGCGCGAUUGAAUGAGCCGAUGUCGGAUUAGCUAGUUGGCGGGGUAAAGGCCCACCAAGGCGACGAUCCGUAGCUGGUCUGAGAGGAUGAUCAGCCACACUGGAACUGAGACACGGUCCAGACUCCUACGGGAGGCAGCAGUGGGGAAUGUUGGACAAUGGGCGAAAGCCUGAUCCAGCCAUACCGCGUGGGUGAAGAAGGCCUUCGGGUUGUAAAGCCCUUUUGUUGGGAAAGAAAAGAAGCAGGUGAAUACCCCGCUGUUCUGACGGUACCCAAAGAAUAAGCACCGGCUAACUUCGUG